AAAGUACUCCCUCCGUCAGAAAUACUUGUCAAAUAAAUGGAUGUAUCUUGACGUAUUUUAGUUCUAGAUACAUCCAUUUUUAUUCAUUUCGGCGACAAGUAAUUCCAGACGGAGGGAGUAUGUU
rnacentral:pre_miRNA from 1 species